AGCAUGUGGUUCNAUUCGACGCAACGCGAAGAACCUUACCUGGGCUCGAAGCGCAGUGGAAUGAGGUGGAAACAUCUCAGCCCGCAAGGGCCGCUGCGGAGGUGCUGCAUGGCUGUCGUCAGCUCGUGUCGUGAGAUGUUGGGUUAAGUCCCGCAACGAGCGCAACCCUUAUCGUCAGUUGCCAUCGGGUCAAGCCGGGCACUCUGGCGAAACCGCCUCGGAUAACGGGGAGGAAGGUGGGGAUGACGUCAAGUCCUCAUGGCCUUUAUGUCCAGGGCUACACACGUGCUACGAUGGUCGGUACAAACCGUCGCAAACCCGCGAGGGGGAGCUAAUCGGAAAAAGCCGGCCUCAGUUCGGAUUGGAGUCUGCAACUCGACUCCAUGAAGCUGGAAUCGCUAGUAAUCGCAGAUCAGAACGCUGCGGUGAAUACGUUCCCGGGCCUUGUACACACCGCCCGUCACAUCACGAAAGUGGACCAUACUAGAAGCCGGUGGGCUAACCGCAAGGGAGCAGCCGUCCAAGGUAUAGUUCAUGAUUGGGGUGAAGUCGUAACAAGGUAACC
rnacentral:rRNA from 1 species